rnacentral:sRNA from 1 species
CGACUAUUAAUAUUAUUUUAUUUUAAAAAAAAUUUAACUUGCUUUAAAAUACUUCAACAAAAAAAAAACAUAUGUUUUUUUUAGAGCUAACCAACCUCAAGUUUGAUUUUUUCAUUCUGUUGCGAAUAGAGACAUACAGUUCAACUGUGAAUAGAGUACGGUGCGGUUCAAAUAAGAACAAAAAUAUAUACAUACACAUAUAUGUAGAGAUUUUAGUUACUAUUGAAACCGCAACGCAUUGUUUGGUUCACCGCACCGGACUGCGGAAUUUGUGAUUUGUUCGGAAAAAAUUACGGCUUGUCGUUUUUUCAAAUGAUUGAGGUUUGGUGUACAAUAUUUUUAUUCAAGGUUAAUCUUGCUUUUCUUUUUGUAAUUUGGUGAUUUCUUUGCA